rnacentral:rRNA from 1 species
UACGUAGGCAGCGAGCGUUGUUCGGAAUUACUGGGCGUAAAGAGUGUGUAGGCGGUGCUCUAAGUUCGGUGUGAAAUCUCCCGGCUUAACUGGGAGGGUGCGCCGAAAACUGGAAGGCUUGAGUAUGGGAGAGGUAAGCGGAAUUCCUGGUGUAGCGGUGAAAUGCGUAGAUAUCAGGAGGAACACCUGCGGUGUAGACGGCUUACUGGACCAUAACUGACGCUGAGGCACGAAAGCGUGGGUAGCAAACAGG